GCUCAGUAACACGUGGAUAACCUGCGCCUACAUGGAUGGGGAUCGACCCCGGGAAAACCGGGGAUAAUACCCUAUAGACUACAGAUGCUGGAAUGCUCUGUAAUCGAAAGUUCCGACGCCUUAGGAGGAUCUGCGGCCGAUUAGGUUGUUGUCGGGGUAAUGGCCCAACAAGCCAGUGAUCGGUACGGGUUGUGGGAGCAAGAGCCCGGAGUUGGAUUCUGAGACACGAAUCCAGGCCCUACGGGGCGCAGCAGGCGCGAAAACUUUACAAUGCGGGAAACCGUGAUAAGGGAACACCGAGUGCCAGCAUCAUAUGCUGGCUGUCCAGAUGUGUAAACUACAUCUGUUAGCAAGGGCCGGGCAAGACCGGUGCCAGCCGCCGCGGUAACACCGGCGGCCCGAGUGGUGACCGUUAUUAUUGGGUCUAAAGGGUCCGUAGCCGGUUUGGUCAGUCCUCCGGGAAAUCUGAUAGCUUAACUGUUAGGCUUUCGGGGGAUACUGCCAGGCUUGGAACCGGGAGAGGUAAGAGGUACUACAGGGGGUAGGAGUGAAAUCUUGUAAUCCCUGUGAGACCACCUGUGGCGAAGGCGUCUUACCAGAACGGGUUCGACGGUGAGGGACGAAAGCUGGGGGCACGAACCGGAUUAGAUACCCGGGUAGUCCCAGCCGUAAACUAUGCUCGCUAGGUGUCAGGCAUGGCGCGACCGUGUCUGGUGCCGCAGGGAAGCCGUGAAGCGAGCCCCUGGGAAGUACG
rnacentral:rRNA from 1 species